GUGAGCUGAUGGAUGACUGACAUCAGGAAGUGUUCACAACUGGCUGCUUGCAGAAGCCUUUGAGGAGCAAUGGAGCUGUGGUUUCCUUCCUUAUGAAACACCCAGUUUCUAGCAGCUGGACCUGGCUGCUGAACUGGAGACUUAGAAGAACAGGAGCAGAAAGGGUGAAGACCUACCUGGUAACAGCUUGUCCUGCUUCCCCAGUAGGGUCUGCUUCUCAACCCAGGUCUUCAGAGCCAGGUUCUCCCAUGGCACAGACAUCCCAACUCAUCCACCACUGACUGUCCUCCUAUGCCCAGGCUUUCUUCCCAGGGCUGGUUCAGGAUUCUGCUGAGCAUGGUUGAGUGUGGUGACGUAUCCCUGGACUUCAAGAGCCCAGUCCUGGACAGGAGAGAUACUGGAGCACAGCCCACGGGUUGGGAGGGAAUAGCUGCAGCUUGGCUUCUCCUCUCUGACCACCAGCCAGCUCCCUAUCUCAGGAUGGAUCCAACAGGAGCACAGGAGCUCACAUCCAAGAAGCCCCAGUGCUCUGCCAGGGCCACACAGAGAUGCCUUAUCCAGCCUGGGAAUGGGAGUACUGCCCUGAAACUUGACAGAGUAAUCACUAGUACCAACAAAAAGCUGAAAGAGGUGUUUUCCUAACAGCUGAGCUAGAAAAUGAUGUUCCUGUGAACCCUCCAGCUGAGAGACAGGGACAGAAGUGAACAAAAUUGAUUUAAGAAGUUAAUUGCAAGCAGAGGAGGAGGCCAGUGUCAGUGGUGCAGGAAAGACACAAGAAACAAACAAACCCUACAGGAAAAUCAAACUUAAACAUCCACAGAAGACAUGCAAAUGCAGACGUUUGCUCAAUGAGGGGGCCUCUGGAUUGUUCCUAAUGAACUCUAAUGUGAAGAGGAAAUUAAAGAACUCUGUUUUCCACUCCGCUGUGCUGUGCUGAUGGGAGGAGGACUGGGCCAAAGAGGAACGUUCCUGCUCCCAGGCUGACAAAUGGGACUCGUCAGGGUUUUGUUUUGUCAGAGUAUUCUUGUUUGUUAAGCAAAGCAAACAACUGAUCCAACCCAACUCGAACUUGAGGCAGAAGGGGAGCCUGGAUUAACUUCUCGAGUGAGUGGUUUUGGUUUUGCUUUCUGAAAGGGGCUUCCAAGGUGGCCCCAUCUGAGACCAUUUCUUCUUUUGAAAUAGAAACAUCCGGUUUGCUAGGCCAUAAUACUUUUCAGUUUGAAUUGUAAGCGAAGUAUAGCAUGAAUGGGGCUUCUUUGCCGAAGGUUUGAGAGAAUUGAAACCAAAUGUUUAAACACUAUCUGUCCCAACCCCUUGGCUUGCCCCAGCUCCAAUGGCUGUUGUUCUUUUCAACUCUAAAUGAUAUUGAAACUCUGAUGUUUAUCCCCAUAUGAGUUGGGAAUUGUUUACAACUUUUAGACACUUUUCAGGGACUCCAGACCUGUUUCUCAUGUAUAUUUCUGCUGGCAGCUGCUGUCUAAAGGACAGCUUCAGCUCCUCAAAAAGCAGAAGCAUAUGAUGAUUUUCUCUUUAGGAAAGCUGGUAAAAUAUGGAGUGUCAAACCAGGAUGAAUUCUCCUGGCCAAUUUAGCUGGCUGGGCAGUGGUUGUGUCCAGGCAGGCUCCUUUGGAGCAUUUCCCUCU
rnacentral:lncRNA from 14 species